UCCCGAUUUUGCUCGAUUGUUAAAAAAACUACAAGGAAAAUCAAAAAAACAAAAAAAAAUGAUCCCCUCGAUGCAUCGACUAGAAAGAAUUUUGCUAAGAGAAAAAAAGAAAACAAAAGCAAACAUCAUAGUAAAGCUAUAGGAUUUUUGCACUGUUUGGAAAUAUUCUUCUUCGGUUUACGGUACCGGUGCAAAUACCGGUUUUUCUGUUUUUAAUGUGAACAAAAUAAAAAGAAAUAAUUUGCAUGCGUCAUUAAAUUUACAUACAGCUUAGAAUAAAUUUAAAUUGUAAUUUUAGAUUCUGAGCGGAGUGAUUAGCGGAUCGUAUUAGUUUUACAACGAUGUUUAUUUUUAAUUAUUUUUUUUUAUAUAUCGUGUACAGAAAUUCUAUCAGCAAUCUUGCACCCAAACAUCUAUUCUGAGAUGUAAUUAUCCUGUGGUGGUACUUUGAGAUGAUUAUUUUUUGA